UACGUAGGUGGCAAGCGUUGUCCGGAUUUAUUGGGUUUAAAGGGUGCGUAGGCGGUUUUCUAAGUCAGCAGUGAAAUACGGCAGCUCAACUGUCGAGGUGCUGUUGAUACUGGGGAACUUGAGUACUGAUGAGGUAGGCGGAAUGGACGGUGUAGCGGUGAAAUUCGUAGAUAUCGGGAGGAAUACCAGUGGCGAAGGCGGCGACCUGGGCCAAUACUGACGCUGAGGUGCGAAAGCGUGGGGAGCAAACAGG
rnacentral:rRNA from 1 species